GACGAACGCUGGCGGCGUGCUUAACACAUGCAAGUCGAACGGAAAGGCCCUGCUUUUGUGGGGUGCUCGAGUGGCGAACGGGUGAGUAACACGUGAGUAACCUGCCCUUGACUUUGGGAUAACUUCAGGAAACUGGGGCUAAUACCGGAUAGGAGCUCCUGCUGCAUGGUGGGGGUUGGAAAGUUUCGGCGGUUGGGGAUGGACUCGCGGCUUAUCAGCUUGUUGGUGGGGUAGUGGCUUACCAAGGCUUUGACGGGUAGCCGGCCUGAGAGGGUGACCGGCCACAUUGGGACUGAGAUACGGCCCAGACUCCCACGGGAGGCAGCAGUGGGGAAUAUUGCGCAAUGGGCGGAAGCCUGAUGCAGCAACGCCGCGUGCGGGAUGACGGCCUUCGGGUUGUAAACCGCUUUCGCCUGUGACGAAGCGUGAGUGACGGUAAUGGGUAAAGAAGCACCGGCUAACUACGUG
rnacentral:rRNA from 1 species